GGGCGCUUAGCUCAGCGGUAGAGCACCGUCUUCACACGGCGGGGGUCGGUGGUUCGAUCCCACCAGCGCCCACCA
rnacentral:tRNA from 1 species